UUAGUGGUGGGCCGUUAUCGGCGUUAACGGCUGCGUUAACGCAAAACUUUUAUCGCGCGAUAAAAAAAUAUCACCUAUUUUCAAACACUUCCUUGUUCAGACUCAUCACGUGACUGAACUAACCAAUCAGAAGCUAGAAUUCAGACUGAGGUCAACGUGAGGGAAUCGGAGAGGCAGAUUCAACAGAAUAUCCUGACUGUGUUAAAUAUAUAAACAUGUAAAUAUGUAAGUAAUAAUUGUGUAACAUAAAUAUGUAAAUGAUUAACUGACUAAACCUUGUAAGUACAUUUCUAGCUAAUUAACUCCAAUAUAAAUUAUAUUACUUUAUUCUACAAUUUUCAAAUAUUUAACUUCUAAACUUUACAUUAUUAUGGAUUAUUACACGGCUCUUCUCAAUGCUGUAGCAUCUCCAUUCACUUGCAUGGGCCUUCCCGACGUUCAGCUGUCAAUUAUUUUUAUUUAUGCUCGGUACACUUGCAUGGGCACUUCACAACUUCCGGCGGUGAAUUAUAUUUGAAGAUUCACCGUUGCCAAGUAUAAUUGACAGCUGUCAAGGUACACGAAAGGAUUUUUUGCCGUUUGCCAUUUUAAUCUAGAUUAAUUCCAAAAUUACUCUAGAUUACAAAAAAAUUAUCUAUGCCCACCACUAAUUUAAUGAAAGUAUUUUUAAACAGUAAACAUUGGUCACUUGUCAGCUUCAUCAGCUUGUUCCAUUUCCAAAAAAAUAAUAUAUGUUCAUCUUUCAAGCAUGAAUAACGACACCAAGUCCCUCUGUCAUGACUUUGUAAGAUCAAACUUCUUGUAAAACUUCUGACCCUUGGUAUUAUGUUUAUUUAAAAUAAAAUAAAAUAAGUAACUUAUUAAAAUAAAUAAAUAAAUACAUAAGACACUAAGUCCCCUCUGCCGCUCACGCCCCCCCUGACACCUUUAAUCAGCUGAGGGCGUUUGCCUGAGUCUAGAGAAACAUGUGGUACUUGUUGAUUAGCUCACGUUGUUAUGGCAAUGAAUACGCCCUCAGCUGAUAAACUAAUGCCAGCAUUUUUUUUCAACAGAAAAUUAGCACCCAUAUCAACAUAUAUUUGAUAUUUUUCUGCUACUUGUACCUAUUCAUGCUUAUCAUGCUACGCAGCAUUACAAGGCUCUGCCGACUAAAACAUGAAGCAAUUCAAGAAGAAGCAUAUAUAGAAUCGUCCUGUGGUCAACUGUCAUUUAAUAGACAUCUGACAGAUUAUGUUAAGGUUUUAAAAUUAUAGUAUUAUUAUUACCAGGUCAUGUUAUAACACAGCUGGAAAUCGUGGAUUUUCUGAUAAAGACUAGCUAAACUCUUUGACAGACAAAACAGCAGAAACUAUGUUAGGUGCGCUCGUGCUGCAUUUUUGGUUUUGUCAAACAGGAGACGCCCACCCACCAAUCCGAGGUUAGAGAUUCCUGAAGGAAGGUUGCGCUCGAUUUCACUAGCCCAAUUGAGCCGGUUCAUUAGUGUACAGCAUCCAUCCUCUCAUUGCUUGUGUAAAAAAAACGGCAGAAUAUUAGAUUUGAGGACGAAACGAUAGGGUGGGCUAAGGCAAGUUUUUUUUCAAAAAGGUCUAGCUUCGCCACUGAUGGCAACGCUAUUGAAAUUGUUCCUAAAUAAAAAAUCUUAAAAGAUAAGAGAUAUAUUUUUCAAAAAUUAAAGGUUGUAGUAGGACCAUGAAGAGGCCAUGCCUCUAUGGAACAAGUUUUGGGGCUCUAGAGUCAAUAACGG